GUCCAGAUCCAUAUCAUGGCAUGUUUAUUUCUCAUGCUACACAGACUCAACAAGAAGGUACUGUUCUCUAGUAAGAGCACGCUGACCUUUACCAGGCAGCAUUACGUAAAACUAUGUAAAAACUGGCAGAUUUUCUACGAAUGUUGAGUGACUCCCAGAGCUCCAGUGGAAAAACCCUUCCGAACUGCAGGUAAACCAUACUAUUCCAUCAGAGGUGAGCUGCAAUUCUAGCCAGGACUUUGGGAAAGACCGAAUAAGGAAGACCUCAUAUUGAGAACUGUCCUGGCCCACUGGGAAGUCAAUGGAGAGUCUGAUGAACAACACGAUCCUGAUGGUUGUAGGUCAAGUGUCUCAAAUGAUGGAAGAAAUACCUCAAAUGAAAAUGCUAAAGAAUGCCUAUAUGGAUAACUGCAUUUCAUUUAGAGGACACUGCUUACCUUGAGAACGUCUGGCUAUGGUGACAAUCUGAAAUAGCAGGAACGUGCAAAGAACUGGGUGCAUCUAACAUGGAAACUCUUUUCACAGAGACAGAUGUGGCUUUAAAGGAAAGAAUGAGCACUUUAAGAAUGUACUGCUGGUGAAGCCGUACUACCACCAGUCCCAAAAGGAUCUACCACAAAAUGCCAGAAACAUGCUCUUCUUGCAGACACAGUAACAACCUGGACCUCUGACAGAGUAAAGUGGGCUUUGACAGAGGUUUCAGCAGACCCCGAAGAAGAUAGAUAGCUGUUCAUUGUUAAUUGUCUAGCUUGUGGGCAUGCAUAUAUGGUCACUGAAAGAAAGCAAGAGAGGAAAAAGAAUGAAUGCGACUGUUUUGGUUAGCAUCAGACUGAGAUUACCAUUGCUGCUCCACCUUAAAGAAAAUAAAAUACCCACAUCAAUGGAGAGCACCACAAGGGAGGAACCCAACUCACUAUCAUAACUAUCACUUUAUGUCUGAGUCAUUAAACUAACUUAUGCUAAGUAUCCUCAGAUGAAAGGGAUUUUCAAAUAAUGUACACAUAGGACAUGGUACUCUAUCAAGCAGAAAACAUGAUUUGCCCAUUCUGGACUAUUCAGAGUUUGAACCCUGUGUCUGCAUAGACUACCCUGCAAGUUGGUGAUUGAAAGAAAAAAACAACAGCAGCAAACAAACCUUUUUUCCACCACAGGGUUUAGAUAAAAAUAAAAUGCAUUUAUUUUUAGUAUUUGGCUCCAGAUGGAAGUGUGAAGGUAAAAAUAUCCUCAGAAACAAGGUUGAGAAGAGUUUAGGGUGCAAUGUAAUCUUAGAACAGCAAAUCUGAGACUCCAGCAAGAAUCACCCCUGCCAUGGGGGCAGUAAGAGCCAACUAGCACUCAACCUUUUAUACCCUCCUACAAGCAGUAGAUGACAACACAGGGCAUGCCUGAUCCAAACAGAGCUUUCAAAGAAAACCUAGCAUCAGGCAGAUGCACGCUUACAGACACAAGAAGCAACAGCUUAGCAGGGCUUUGGAAUGGCACAUACGUGAAACAUCAUCUUCUAGUUACACCAUAUGCAUUGUACCUCUUUAACCACUGACAUGACAACUGAGCAAUCAGGGCUUUGUGAGACAUUUCGGAUCUGUGGUAGAGCGCUUGCUCUCCAGGCUUCUUUCACCACGCUGCCCAUGCAGUCUAGUGAC